UCUCGAUUGGUCUAGUGGCAAGGAUACCUGCUUGUCAUCGAAUUCGCAGGUGGCCGGGGUUCGAUUCCCCGAUCGAGAG